CCUACGGGAGGCUGCAGUGAGGAAUAUUGGUCAAUGGACGAGAGUCUGAACCAGCCAAGUAGCGUGAAGGAUGACUGCCCUAUGGGUUGUAAACUUCUUUUAUAUGGGAAUAAAAUGUUCCACGUGUGGGAUUUUGUAUGUACCAUAUGAAUAAGGAUCGGCUAACUCCGUGCCAGCAGCCGCGGUAAUACGGAGGGUCCGAGCGUUAUCCGGAUUUAUUGGGUUUAAAGGGAGCGUAGGUGGAUUGUUAAGUCAGUUGUGAAAGUUUGCGGCUCAACCGUAAAAUUGCAGUUGAAACUGGCAGUCUUGAGUACAGUAGAGGUGGGCGGAAUUCGUGGUGUAGCGGUGAAAUGCGUAGAUAUCACGAAGAACUCCGAUUGCGAAGGCAGUUCACUGGACUGCAACUGACACUGAGGCUCGAAAGUGUGGGUAUCAAACAGGAUUAGAUACCCGAGUAGUC
rnacentral:rRNA from 1 species